GCGAUAGGGGUAUGGUGGUGAGCAUAGCUGCCUUCCAAGCAGUUGACCCGUGUUCGAUUCCUGGCCAUCGCA
rfam:Gasterosteus aculeatus cont1.008916, whole genome shotgun sequence.